rnacentral:rRNA from 1 species
ACGGGUGAGUAAUACAUCGGAACGUGCCCUGUAGUGGGGGAUAACUAGUCGAAAGAUUAGCUAAUACCGCAUACGACCUGAGGGUGAAAGUGGGGGACCGCAAGGCCUCAUGCUAUAGGAGCGGCCGAUGUCUGAUUAGCUAGUCGGUGAGGUAAAGGCUCACCAAGGCGACGAUCAGUAGCUGGUCUGAGAGGACGAUCAGCCACACUGGGACUGAGACACGGCCCAGACUCCUACGGGAGGCAGCAGUGGGGAAUUUUGGACAAUGGGGGCAACCCUGAUCCAGCAAUGCCGCGUGUGUGAAGAAGGCCUUCGGGUUGUAAAGCACUUUUGUCCGGAAAGAAAUCGCACUUACUAAUAUUAGGUGUGGAUGACGGUACCGGAAGAAUAAGGACCGGCUAACUACGUGCCAGCAGCCGCGGUAAUACGUAGGGUCCAAGCGUUAAUCGGAAUUACUGGGCGUAAAGCGUGCGCAGGCGGUUGUGCAAGACCGAUGUGAAAUCCCCGGGCUUAACCUGGGAAUUGCAUUGGUGACUGCACGGCUAGAGUGUGUCAGAGGGGGGUAGAAUUCCACGU